CAGUAGCCACGGUAAUACGAAGGGUGCAAGCGUUACUCGGAAUUACUGGGCGUAAGCGUGCGUAGGUGGUGGUUUAAGUCCGUUGUGAAAGCCCUGGGCUCAACCUGGGAAUUGCAGUGGAUACUGGGUCACUAGAGUGUGGUAGAGGAUAGUGGAAUUUCCGGUGUAGCAGUGAAAUGCGUAGAGAUCGGAAGGAACAUCUGUGGCGAAGGCGACUAUCUGGGCCAACACUGACACUGAGGCGCGAAAGCGUGGGGAGCAAACAGGAUUAGAUACCCCUGUAGUCCCUGUCUCUUAUACA
rnacentral:rRNA from 1 species